rnacentral:rRNA from 1 species
AUUGAACGCUGGCGGCAGGCCUAACACAUGCAAGUCGAACGAGUGGCGGACGGGUGAGUAAUGUCUGGGAAACUGCCUGAUGGAGGGGGAUAACUACUGGAAACGGUAGCUAAUACCGCAUACCAUCGGAUGUGCCCAGAUGGGAUUAGCUAGUAGGUGGGGUAAAGGCUGACCUAGGCGACGAUCCCUAGCUGGUCUGAGAGGCUGACCAGCCACAGUGGAACUGAGACACGUUCCAGACUCCUACGUGAGGAAGCAGUGGGGAAUAUUGCACAAGUGGCGCAAGCCUGAGGCAGCCAUGCAGCGUGUAUGAAGAAGGCCGUCGGGUUGUAAAGUACUUUCAGCGGGGAGGCGUUACCCGCAGAAGAAGCACCGGCUAACUCCGUGCCAGCAGCCGCGGUAAUUC